UACGUAGGUGGCAAGCGUUGUCCGGAUUUCUUGGGUUUAAAGGGUGCGUAGGCGGCCCUGUAAGUCAGUGCUGAAAUAUCCCGGCUUAACCGGGAGGGUGGCAUUGAUACUGCGGGGCUAGAGUACAGAUGAGGUAGGCGGAAUUGACGGUGUAGCGGUGAAAUGCUUAGAUAUCGUCAAGAACACCUAUAGCGAAGGCAGCUUACUAGGCUGUAACUGACGCUGAGGCACGAAAGUGUGGGGAUCAAACAGG
rnacentral:rRNA from 1 species